rnacentral:miRNA from 1 species
ACAUUGCAUUGUGGGUCGCCAUGUUGCAGUGUGGUGUCUUUAUUGAAGAGAGGGACCCAUUGUUGACUUGGUGACUCAUUGCAAU